AUGAAGAACGUAGCGAAAUGCGAUACUUGGUGUGAAUUGCAGAAUCCCGUGAACCAUCGAGUCUUUGAACGCAAGUUGCGCCCGAAGCCACUAGGCCGAGGGCACGCCUGCCUGGGCGUCACACGCCGUUGCCCCCCCAUCUACUCCUUCGGGAUUGCGGGGGGGCGGAUGAUGGCCUCCUGUGCGCCUAGCCGCGCGGUUGGCAUAAAUACCAAGUCCUCGGCGACGCACGCCACGACAAUCGGUGGUUGCGAAACCUCGGUUGCCCGUCGUGUGCGUUCGUCGCGCAUCGAGGGCUCGAAAAAAUGCUCGGCUCCGGCUGGGCUUUCAACGCGACCCCAGGUCAGGCGGGGUUACCCGCUGAAUUUAAGCAUAUCAAUAAGCGGAGGA
rnacentral:misc_RNA from 1 species